ensembl:lncRNA
CAUGCGCGUUCACAGGGGAAGGACCUGCGCUCCACCGGUCAUCUGAAGUCAUUCUAAUUCUCCGGUUGGAACGUUAUUCAAGAUAUAUGUAAACAACAUUCUAAAGAUUGAUUCAGUACAUUGUUUGACAUGUUUCUACUGACUGUUCUGGAACUUUUGGACAUUUCGUUACGUUAUAGUGGACGCGCUUUGUGACUUUGGAAAUGUUUACCAAACGCGCUAACCAAUGUAGCUAAUUGGACAUAAAUAACGGACAUUUUCGAACAAAUCAAGCAUUUAUUGUGGACCUGGGAUUUCUAGGACUGACUGCAUUCUGAUGAAGUUCAUCAAAGAAGGUAGCACGGCAGGGCGCCAAGCCACUAGACAGGGGAGGACAGCGAUUAAUAAAUCACCCUAAAGGCAUCAUGGGAUGUUUGGAGCAGGCUGCAGGGCACCCUGGGACAGAGCCAUGUGUGUUUCCGGUGUCCUGGAACGCACCCUGUCUGGUUGCCGGGCGAAUUAGCUUGUUGGGAGAUCAUGUUCACCCGCACCUGUAUCCCAUCAGUAAUCUGCACACCUGUCCUGAUCAUCACCUCUCCCCUUCAAAAGCUCUGACCUGACCUCCAUUCCCUGCCGGAUCGUUAGCCAUGAACACCAUUCACCCGGAACCCAUACCCCAUCCAUGUCUGCUCGUCGCCAGGGUGUUGUUAUCCAUUGGAUCUGCCUAUCCACUCCCAUCAACCCACCUCCGCUGCCCGCUCCUCCACCCGGAACUAUCUACCUCCACGUUCUCAUUAAUUAAUAAAUACUCACCAUCUUUAUACUCACCUUGUCUGCUUCUGGGUCCAAUUCUGGUAAACCCUGACAUUAACGAUAUGAAUGCACAAUGCAAUGUUUUGAACAUUGGACAGCCUGCGUUACAAGUGAUGACUGUUUUGAGUUUUGUGUCGAGUUUUGAAAAAGGACCACAAGGUUCUGAAAUUAGUGCCAAAGUGAUUGUUAAAAACUGUAUAUGGCCUCAAAACAUGGUCAAAAAUAUAUUUUGGGCCUCGCGGGUGGCAUAAUGGUCUAAGGCACUGCGGCGCAGUGCUUGAGAUUUUGGAAUCGAGUCCAGGCUCUUUCGCAGCCGGUCACGACCGGGAGACCCAUGGGGCGGCGCACAAUUGGCCCAGCGUCGUCCGGGUUAGGGAGGGUUUGGCCGGCUGGGAUAUCCUUGUCUCAUCGCGCACUAGUGUCUCCUGUGGCGGGCCGGGCGCAGUGCACGCUGACACUGUCGCCAGGGGUACGGUGUUUCCUCUGACACAUUGGUGCGGCUGGCUUCCGGGUUGGAUGG